rnacentral:rRNA from 1 species
CCUACGGGAGGCAGCAGUGAGGAAUAUUGGUCAAUGGGCGCGAGCCUGAACCAGCCAAGUCGCGUGAGGGAAGACGGUCCUAUGGAUUGUAAACCUCUUUUGUCGGGGAGCAAAAGACGCCACGCGUGGCGUUCCGCGAGUACCCGAAGAAAAAGCAUCGGCAAACUCCGUGCCAGCAGGCGCGGUAAUACGGAGGAUGCGAGCGUUAUCCGGAUUUAUUGGGUUUAAAGGGUGCGCAGGCGGAAGAUCAAGUCAGCGGUAAAAUUGAGAGGCUCAACCUCUUCGAGCCGUUGAAACUGGUUUUCUUGAGUGAGUGAGAAGUAUGCGGAAUGCGUGGUGUAGCGGUGAAAUGCAUAGAUAUCACGCAGAACUCCGAUUGCGAAGGCAGCAUACCGGCGCUCAACUGACGCUCAUGCACGAAAGUGUGGGUAUCGAACAGGAUUAGAUACCCUGGUAGUC